CGGCGGACGGGUGAGUAACACGUGGAUAACCUACCUAUAAGACUGGGAUAACUUCUGGAAACCGGAGCUAAUACCGGAUAACAUAUUGAACCGCAUGGUUCAAUAGUGAAAGGCGGCUUUGCUGUCACUUAUAGAUGGAUCCGCGCCGUAUUAGCUAGUUGGUAAGGUAACGGCUUACCAAGGCAACGAUACGUAGCCGACCUGAGAGGGUGAUCGGCCACACUGGAACUGAGACACGGUCCAG
rnacentral:rRNA from 1 species